rnacentral:SRP_RNA from 2 species
GCUGGGAGUGGUGGUGGGCGCCUGUAAUCCCAGCUGCUCAGGAGGCUGGGGCAGGAGAAUUGCUUGAACCCAGGAGGUGGAGAUUGCAGUGGGCAGAGAUCAUGCCACUGCACUCCAGCCUGGGUGACAGAGCAAGAUUCUGUCUCAA